rnacentral:rRNA from 1 species
GUGUCAGCAGCCGCGGUAAUACGGAGGGUGCGAGCGUUAAUCGGAAUUACUGGGCGUAAAGCGUACGCAGGCGGUUUGUUAAGCGAGAUGUGAAAGCCCCGGGCUCAACCUGGGAACUGCAUUCGAAACUGGCAGGCUAGAGUCUUGUAGAGGGGGGUAGAAUUCCAGGUGUAGCGGUGAAAUGCGUAGAGAUCUGGAGGAAUACCGGUGGCGAAGGCGGCCCCCUGGACAAAGACUGACGCUCAGGUGCGAAAGCGUGGGGAGCAAACAGGAUUAGAAAC